rnacentral:lncRNA from 1 species
ACAUGUUUUUGAACGGGCUUUUUUAGUAAAUGACCCUUGAAAAAAUUUUAUUUUAAAAAUAACUCAGUUAAAAUUUAAUUUGCAAAAAUGAUCCUGCCCCUGCCACGCAGGCGUCACGUCAGCGCCACACGGGCAGGGCUGGGGCAGUGUGUUUAGAAAUCAAAUUUCAUACAUUUUCGAUAGUGUUCUCUUAUCCAUCGAGUGGACACAAAAAUGAAUUGCUGAAAAUGAAUAUUCUUAAAAAAAUGAUGAUAGGAGUCUUGUAAUCUAGAUCAAGAGUAUAGAUCUUGUUUUAAAUAGUUUAAAGAAUUUUCUAACAAAAAUUUAAUUGAUUUGGAUUCUUUACGCCGUUAAACGAGAAAAUGCCUCAUAUUGACCAUUAAAAUUACAAAUUUUGAAACCCUUUGAUCAUUGGGCAAAUGAUGUCGAAAAGAUUUGAAAUUUGAUUUCUAAACACUUCAAGUGGUAUAGAUCAUGUUCAACAAUGCCGAUCGUCGAUUUAGAGACUUGAUCAUUGAAAACAAAUGGGUGGCAACGGAGCCCGUUUGCUAUCGAUAGUAUUCUAGCUCAACUCUAUAUAUAUAAUACUUAUACAUUGUUGUCUUACGUAUUAUUGUGAGCCUUUCUUUAGUCAUAUUAACUGCAAUAUGAUAUUUUUUUGAUUAUUGUGUUAUAAAAAUAAUUUUAAUCAUCCAUUUGCAUGAUAUGCGGCCUCUUUUGAACAAGAUUGAAUAAUUUUGUUGGAAUAAUUGAUUCUUUUUCAUUAUAGUUUUUUAUUAAAAAAAAUGUUUGUCUAUAAUAUAGACUAUAUUUAUUAUUUUUUAUACUAAACUAAUAUUUUAUUUUUUACAAAUUUUCACUUUAACAGUAUUUACUCGCCGUAACACGCGGGUCACUACACUAGUAUAAUUAAAGAUGUGGUUAAUUUAGACUUAGACUAUACAUACAUACGUACAUACAGUUGAAACAACAAUUUAUAUAUAUACUUAU